rnacentral:misc_RNA from 1 species
GAAAUGCGAUACUUGGUGUGAAUUGCAGAAUCCCGCGAACCAUCAAGUCUUUGAACGCAAGUUGCGCCCGAAGCCAUUAGGUUGAGGGCACGUCUGCCUGAGCGUCUCACGUUGCGUCGCCCGUGCCCCCUCCCCCCCUCGAAGGGUUGAAGAAGGGCUGCGGGCGGAUGUUGGCCCCUGCGCGUGCUCGCGUGUGGUCGGUCCAAAAGCGAGUCCCCCGCGAUGGACAACGCGUCGCGACGAGUGGUGGUUGACAAACCGUUGCGUCGCCUCGCGCGCGUCUAGGGGGUCUCAGGAGGCCUAUCGUGACCCUAUCGCGCCGCUGCCAAUGCACUCCGAUCGCGACCCCAGGUCAGGCGGGAUUACUCGCUGAGUUUAA